GGAACGGGCAAAGUCAAUUGAGCAUAUUCUUUUAGCCAGCCAGUCAAGGCUUGUCCCAGGCAAUAGGGACAAGCAAGCGAGCAAGCAAUGCAGUGCGGAUUGGAACGGCUACUGUCGUGGACGCGUGGUGGUCCCGGCAAGGCAUUCCCUACAAGUCCGCCAGCGAAGCACCUGGUCAAGUGCCCCAUUCUUCCCGAAAACGCACCGUAACCUGCGGGGCGUGAUCAGCGAGGCCUUGCUCUUGGUUCGGAACAGAUGCUAAGCUGCUAUGCUCUUCGGGCCUCGCAGCUGAGGAAGAGUGGUGCAGCCGCGACGUGUGCCUGACGUGAUGUUGCCGGGCACUACGGGAACCCGACGAUGCGUCGGACGGUCAUGCUCCGGUGAAGCUCCGUUCAUCACGGACACAACGAGACUGCAACCCGGCACCGGAGCAGCCUCAUCAAGGCAUUCAAGCAGUGAUGAAAGUGUCCCAGACGUUGGGCUUCAAUUUUUCCGAGCAGAGCGCAUCGGUGAGUCAAAAGCGCUGUGCUUGGAGGCAGCUUUGCAGCUGGUGUUCGAGUUGUCACGUGACCAUGGACAGCCGUGGCGAGCUUCGGGCUGGGCGAAACCUACGCACCAGGACGUCGCUAAAAGUGCCUCAGUAUUAUGACGACGCCGC